rnacentral:rRNA from 1 species
UGAGGAAUAUUGGUCAAUGGGCGAGAGCCUGAACCAGCCCAGUAGCGUGCAGGAUGACGGCCCUAUGGGUUGUAAACUGCUUUUAUAAGGGAAUAAAGUUAGUCUCGUGAGACUUUUUGCAUGUACCUUAUGAAUAAGGACCGGCUAAUUCCGUGCCAGCAGCCGCGGUAAUACGGAAGGUCCGGGCGUUAUCCGGAUUUAUUGGGUUUAAAGGGAGCGUAGGCCGGAGAUUAAGCGUGUUGUGAAAUGUAGACGCUCAACGUCUGCACUGCAGCGCGAACUGGUUUCCUUGAGUACGCACAAAGUGGGCGGAAUUCGUGGUGUAGCGGUGAAAUGCUUAGAUAUCACGAAGAACUCCGAUUGCGAAGGCAGCUCACUGGAGCGCAACUGACGCUGAAGCUCGAAAGUGCGGGUAUCGAACAGGAUUAGAUACCCUGGUAGUCCGCACGGUAAACGAUGGAUGCCCGCUGUUGGUCUGAACAGGUCAGCGGCCAAGCGAAAGCAUUAAGCAUCCCACCUGGGGAGUACGCCGGCAACGGUGAAACUCAAAGGAAUUGACGGGGGCCCGCACAAGCGGAGGAACAUGUGGUUUAAUUCGAUGAUACGCGAGGAACCUUACCCGGGCUUGAAUUGCAGAGGAAGGAUUUGGAGACAAUGACGCCCUUCGGGGCCUCUGUGAAGGUGCUGCAUGGUUGUCGUCAGCUCGUGCCGUGAGGUGUCGGCUUAAGUGCCAUAACGAGCGCAACCCCUCUCCUUAGUUGCCAUCAGGUUAAGCUGGGCACUCUGGGGACACUGCCACCGUAAGGUGUGAGGAAGGUGGGGAUGACGUCAAAUCAGCACGGCCCUUACGUCCGGGGCUACACACGUGUUACAAUGGCAGGUACAGAGAGACGGUCCCUUGCAAAAUGGAUCAAAUCCUUAAAGCCUGUCUCAGUUCGGACUGGGGUCUGCAACCCGACCCCACGAAGCUGGAUUCGCUAGUAAUCGCGCAUCAGCCAUGGCGCGGUGAAUACGUUCCC